AUACGUAGGGGCGAGCGUUGUCCGGAUUUAUUGGGCGUAAAGGGUGCGUAGGCGGCCUUGUAAGUCAGAUGUGAAAGAUCAUGGCUUAACUGUGGUAAGCAUUUGAAACUGCAGGGCUUGAGUACAGGAGAGGAGAGUGGAAUUCCUAGUGUCGCGGUGAAAUGCGUAGAUAUUAGGAGGAAUACCAGUGGCGAAGGCGACUCUCUGGACUGAUACUGACGCUGAGGCACGAAAGCGUGGGGAGCAAACAGGAUUAGAUACCCUGGUAGUCCACGCUAUAAACGAUGAGUGCUAGGUGUCGGGGGUCAAACCUCGGUGCCGCAGUUAACACAUUAAGCACUCCGCCUGGGGAGUACGGCCGCAAGGCUGAAACUCAAAUGAAUUGGCGGGG
rnacentral:rRNA from 1 species